UGAAUGUUAGACUUUGAUUAUUUUUUUAUAUUUUGUCGGUACAUUGUAGCUUAUUAAAGAGUUUGAUCCAUAAAGUGAAGCUUGACCCUUUUUAUUAAUGAUGAUUUAUGGAUCAAGAUCUUUACACAAGUUACAUGUAUCUUUAUUCCUUUAUAGGUUUAAAUCAAUUACCAUGCAUUUCAGCGCUUUCAUAUCAAAUACUUGUGAGUGGUUCAUUUUAAUGUUCAUUUUGUAUAUACUUGUUUUUUUCACAACAUUUUAUAGUGCUGGGUUUUGAUGUGAUUUAAUUGUAAGGAUGAAUUCAGAAGGGCAUUUACUGUUUGAUUUGUCAGAUUAGAAGUCUAGUUGCAUCAAUUUGAGAAAAUAACCAUGGAGCACCUGUUAAUUUUUAGGACGGUAAAUCUUGAAAAUGUGUAUAAAAAUCAAUCUUAUAAUGAUUAUUGCAUGAAUUGGCUCUAAUGUGAAUUUAAAGGCAUUUUAGUAAACUGAUUUGAUUUAAUGCUGCAUUGACUGAAUUUUCCCAUUCAGACUGACUUAAUGUCCUAUAUUACAUGAUCCUCUCUCUCUGAUUUACAAAGUUUCCGUGUUCAUUUGACUCCCUCACAUCUUAAGUUCUAGUCCUAUUCAUUUUUCUGCCAUUUUUGAUUUUCUCAUCCUUUUUACUGGACCAGUAGGGUUGAAAGAAGGUUAGUGGAAAAUGAUUUUCUAUUAAUUUUGAUCAUUUUGUAAGGGGGUUUUUAUAUUCUCUCCUCACCCCCCCCCCCCCUUUCUUCAACAUGGAUGUCCAAUUACCUCAAAUGUUUUAUGCAUUUCAAAUUAACAGCAACAUGUAUGUAAAAUUUAUCUCAUUAGAUUGUGUUGUGUUGGGGGAUUAAAUACAUGACAAGAUUUUCCUGUAAUAUUUCAGUGCAGAAUCAACUUGAUGCCCUAUCAUAAUUUAAUUCCAAAUAUUUAUUUGUAAUAUAUGACGCAUCAUAUUUGUGCAAUCUUGGCAUAUCACAUAUCAAUAUAAGUUUUGCUUUAAGGCUACUUUCCCUUAAAAAAAAACCCCCAAUUUCCAAAGUGUAAUAUUGACUGUAAAUGACAACAUCUUUACAUAUUAUGGGUUUGUGAAUACUCUGUAUGUACUUAAUAUAUUAUAUUGUACAAGUUUAACUUUCUUUUCAAGAAUCCUUUUUCCAUGAUCAUUUGUAGUGGUAUUUUAACAAGUUUGGUGCAACUAUUCAUUUGUUACACUGUUUAAACAUCUGCACUAAGUGUCAGACAAAUAAAAAAUGUAAAAAAU
rnacentral:misc_RNA from 1 species